GAUCAUGGCUCAGGAUGAACGCUAGCGACAGGCUUAACACAUGCAAGUCGAGGGGCAGCGGGGUGUAGCAAUACACCGCCGGCGACCGGCGCACGGGUGAGUAACGCGUAUGCAACUUGCCUACCAGAGGGGGAUAACCCGGCGAAAGUCGGACUAAUACCGCAUGAAGCAGGGAUCCCGCAUGGGAAUAUUUGCUAAAGAUUCAUCGCUGAUAGAUAGGCAUGCGUU
rnacentral:rRNA from 1 species